UUAAAAGGUCUGACUUCACUGAAUUGAGAUUAUUGGUGAUUUCCAUUGAAGAUUUGUAACAGUCAGCAAAAUUUCCUGUACAAAGAGAAAACCUAGACUGAUAAACAAAUACAGCCAAUUUAGAGUCACCCUGUCUCUGGCCCAUGCCUUUGUGUCCCCCGUGAACAGAACGAGCUGUCUUGGAUGAAUUC
rnacentral:lncRNA from 1 species